GCCUCCAUAGCUCAAUUGGUAGAGCAGCGGCCUCUUAAGCCGUUGGUUCCAGGUUCGAGUCCUGGUGGGGGUA
rnacentral:tRNA from 1 species